UACGGAGGGUGCAAGCGUUACUCGGAAUCACUGGGCGUAAAGAGCGCGUAGGCGGGAUAGCAAGUCAGAUGUGAAAUCCUAUGGCUUAACCAUAGAACUGCAUUUGAAACUGUUAUUCUAGAGUAUGGGAGAGGUAGGUGGAAUUCUUGGUGUAGGGGUAAAAUCCGUAGAUAUCAAGAGGAAUACUCAUUGCGAAGGCGACCUACUGGAACAUUACUGACGCUCAGGCACGAAAGCGUGGGUAUCGAACAGG
rnacentral:rRNA from 1 species